rnacentral:rRNA from 1 species
UUUUAUGAAUAUUUUACUAUAAAAGUUAAUUAAAAAGAUCACUUUCAACAACGGAUCUCUUGGCUCUCGCAUCGAUGAAGAACGUAGCAAAGUGCGAUAAGUAGUGUGAAUUGCAGAAUUCCGUGGAUCAUCGAAUUUUUGAACGCAAUUGCA